CCAAAAUCACGUUCUUCUUCUUCAAAACCUCAUUUAUAGAUUGAAGGAAAGAAGAUACAAUGGUUAGGUCAAAAGAUCCAUUUUGGAAUUAUUGUGAAGAAAAAGGACAUAAAUUGUAUUAUAAUUUUUGCAGUGAAGGAUUUUCUGCCAGAAUAACAAGAUUCAAAUAUCACUUGUCAAGAGAACAAGAGAAUGAUAUAAAAGCUUGUCCUCAAGUACCAGAUGAUGUACAAGCUAUAGCCGUUUUUGCGACACACGAGAGUUGUUGAAGUACCAUACACGGGAUUCAAAUAUAUUUGAUGGUGUUGCAUUGGGAUUAUUAUCAACAACUCAUCCUCGAGUUUGGUGGGAAGUAUACGGAGAAAGCAUUCCAUUAGUUCGAAUGGUUGGCAUUCGGAUUUUGAGCCAACCAUGCAGCUCAUCAGCGUACAAAAGUAAUUGGAGUGUUUUUUAGGCGACUCAAACCAAAAAAAGGAAUAGAUUGACACCAACUAUGUUAACCGACUUGGUUUACAUAAGAGUGAACUCGAAGAUGAUGAUUGCAUCAUGUGAAAAUGACAUUCGAGAUUGUAAUGCAAUUAAUCUAGAACAACUUGGUUUAUUGCUGGAAGAGGUUUCGAAGAGGUGGAACAUGACGACACCUUUCCAGAUGAUGAUGAUGAUAAUGAUGCAUGGCUACAUGACUUGGGGAUUACACCUUCCCAAACUCUUAACUUUUCUUUUGACUUUACCCUGCCUUAUGCUUAAUUUUGAAUAUUUCUAGUUAAAUUAAUUGACUUAAUUAUAUCAGUCUAGUAAAGUUUUAAUGAAUGGAUUAGUUAUUGAUGGCUUUGACAUAAUUUUUAUUUUUUAGAAUUUCAAAAUUUCUAACAUUUGAACUUAUUCGAUUUUUUGACUUCGAUUAUUUAGCCCAGUCCGAUAUAUUGGUGAUAUCUUUACAUGAAGUAUUUUUUCUGUUCCGUAUUUUUUAUCCGAUUUUUUCA